rnacentral:lncRNA from 1 species
CCGAUAUUAAUUCACGCCCUAUUGGUGAUCCAUUAUCAUCAUAUUGAUGAUCAUCCUCUUUCUCUUUCUCACUCUCUAAUUCCUUCUCUUUCUAACUUUUAUUUUCUUCAUCACCAUCACAGACCCUUGUCCACCUACCUCAACAUUGUUUUCAUAUCUCUCCUCAGCUUCACUUUGUUCAGGAAGUUCCUCCGAAUCCCUCUAUACUGUAG